UUCCAGACUCCUACGGGAGGCAGCAGUGGGGAAUAUUGCACAAUGGGGGAAACCCUGAUGCAGCGACGCCGCGUGAGCGAUGAAGUAUUUCGGUAUGUAAAGCUCUAUCAGCAGGGAAGAAAAUGACGGUACCUGACUAAGAAGCCCCGGCUAACUACGUGCCAGCAGCCGCGGUAAUACGUGGGGGGCAAGCGUUAUCCGGAUUUACUGGGUGUAAAGGGAGCGUAGACGGCUGUGCAAGCCAGAUGUGAAAGCCCGGGGCUCAACCCCGGGACUGCAUUUGGAACUGUGUGGCUGGAGUGUCGGAGAGGCAGGCGGAAUUCCUAGUGUAGCGGUGAAAUGCGUAGAUAUUAGGAGGAACACCAGUGGCGAAGGCGGCUUACUGGACUGUAACUGACGUUGAGGCUCGAAAGCGUGGGGAGCAAACAGGAUUAGAUACCCUAGUAA
rnacentral:rRNA from 1 species